rnacentral:rRNA from 1 species
GUCCCGCCUGCCCUGUGCCCCACUACUUACGGCCGCGGUAUUUUACCUGGUAGCCUGCGGGUAGCAGCAAUCAUUGUCUUGUUAGCCUCGGAGACCUGUCAUGAAUGGCAUAACGAGGUGUUUUACUGUCUCUUUUUUCUGGUCCUCCCAACUGAUCUGCCGGUGCAGAAGCGGGCAUAAUAACACAAGACGAGAAGACCCUAUGGAGCUUUAGACGCCCACCAACCGCGAAGAGCUCCCCGACGAGGGGCCGCCAAACAACGCGAUCGUGGUAUAAACGUCUUCGGUUGGGGCGACCACGGGGGAAUACAAAGCCCCCGAGAGGAUUGGGGAUCCAACCCUAAAACCAAGAGCCACAGCUCUAAGUCACAAAACAUUUGACCCAGAAUGAUGCGGGGGCGGUGCGCAUCAACGGACCAAGUUACCCUAGGGAUAACAGCGCAAUCCUCUCCCAGAGUCCAUAUCGACGAGAGGGUUUACGACCUCCAUGUUGGAUCAGGACAUCCUAAUGGUGCAGCCG